GACGAACGCUGGCGGCGUGCUUAACACAUGCAAGUCGAGCGGUAAGGCCCCUUCGGGGGUACACGAGCGGCGAACGGGUGAGUAACACGUGAGCAAUCUGCCCAUCACAUCGGGAUAACUCCGGAAAACCGAAGCUAAUACCGAAUACGACCACCUCCGGCAUCGGAUGGUGGUGGAAAGUUCCGGCGGUGAUGGAUGAGCUCGCGGCCUAUCAGCUUGUUGGUGGGGUAACGGCCCACCAAGGCUUCGACGGGUAGCCGGCCUGAGGGGGUGACCGGCCACACUGGGACUGAGACACGGCCCAGACUCCUACGGGAGGCAGCAGUGGGGAAUAUUGGACAAUGGGCGAAAGCCUGAUCCAGCAACGCCGCGUGAGGGAUGACGGCCUUCGGGUUGUAAACCUCUUUCAGCAGGGACGAAGCGCAAGUGACGGUACCUGCAGAAGAAGCACCGGCCAACUACGUG
rnacentral:rRNA from 1 species